rnacentral:lncRNA from 1 species
GACAAUUCCAACAGCACGAUUGAACAAUAGAUUGACGAAUCGAAGCGAAGAAGAACAAAGAAAAGGUUUGCAGAGAAGGAGAAAAGAAAAUAUCAUAAAGGGGAAAAAACAGAAAACAUUGACGUUAGUUUUUUUGGGAGAGAGAAAAACGAAUUUUGAAAAAAAAAAGCAAAAUAAAAAUAAAAACAAAACCUGAUAACUCCCAAUAUCCCAACUCCCCACUAUCCUCUCGUUCUUAACCACCCACUUACACAAACUUCCAAUCCCAUCCAAACUCUCCCAGUCAAUCAAGGCAAAAAUUAACCUCCACGCUUGUGCAAGGAUUCAAACAUAAGACCCCCAACACACUAACUCCCUUACCACUCGAACCAACGGGCUCAUUCUGAUAUAGAUUAACAGAGAAUUUUAUAUAAGCACGCUCAACAAGGGUAAACUUGAACCCAAUACCUCACACACACACCUAGAACACUUAAUCACCAAAGCACA